rnacentral:rRNA from 1 species
GGGGAAUUUUCCGCAAUGGGCGAAAGCCUGACGGAGCAAUACCGCGUGAGGGAGGAAGGCUCUUGGGUCGUAAACCUCUUUUCUCAGGGAAGAACACAAUGACGGUACCUGAGGAAUAAGCAUCGGCUAACUCCGUGCCAGCAGCCGCGGUAAUACGGAGGAUGCAAGCGUUAUCCGGAAUGAUUGGGCGUAAAGCGUCCGCAGGUGGCAAUGUAAGUCUGCUGUUAAAGAGUGAGGCUCAACCUCAUAAGAGCAGUGGAAACUACAUAGCUAGAGUACGUUCGGGGCAGAGGGAAUUCCUGGUGUAGCGGUGAAAUGCGUAGAGAUCAGGAAGAACACCGGUGGCGAAGGCGCUCUGCUAGGCCGUAACUGACACUGAGGGACGAAAGCUAGGGGAGCGAAUGGGAUUAGAUACCCCAGUAGUCCUAGCCGUAAACGAUGGAUACUAGGCGUGGCUUGUAUCGACCCGAGCCGUGCCGUAGCUAACGCGUUAAGUAUCCCGCCUGGGGAGUACGCCGGCAACGGUGAAACUCAAAGGAAUUGACGGGGGCCCGCACAAGCGGUGGAGUAUGUGGUUUAAUUCGAUGCAACGCGAAGAACCUUACCAAGGCUUGACAUGUCGCGAAUCUUGGUGAAAGCUGGGAGUGCCUUCGAGAGCGCGAACACAGGUGGUGCAUGGCUGUCGUCAGCUCGUGUCGUGAGAUGUUGGGUUAAGUCCCGCAACGAGCGCAACCCUCGUUUUUAGUUGCCAGCAUUAAGUUGGGCACUCUAGAGAGACUGCCGGUGACAAACCGGAGGAAGGUGGGGAUGACGUCAAGUCAGCAUGCCCCUUACGCCUUGGGCUACACACGUACUACAAUGCUCCGGACAGAGGGCAGCAAGCCAGCGAUGGCAAGCAAAUCCCGUAAACCGGAGCUCAGUUCAGAUCGCAGGCUGCAACUCGCCUGCGUGAAGGAGGAAUCGCUAGUAAUUGCAGGUCAGCAUACUGCAGUGAAUUCGUUCCCGGGCCUUGUACACACCGCCCGUCACACCAUGGAAGCUGGGAGUGCCCGAAGUCAUUACUCCAACCUUUCGGGGGGGAGGAUGCCUAAGGCAGGACUGGUGACUGGGGU